UCCCCGUUACCGGGGCAGUAUGAUUAGAAAAAUUCAACUAAUCACAAGGGUUGCGCUCGUUGAUGGACUUAACCAAACAUCUCACGACACGAGCUGACGACGGCCAUGCAAGACCUGUCACCGAGUUCAAUAAAGCACUCUCGCCUUUCGGCAAAAUUCUCGGGAUGUCAAGCCCUGGUAAGGUUCUUCGUUUAUCAUCGAAUUAAAGAACACGCUCCACCGCUUGUGCGGGUCCCCGUCAAUUCCUUUAUGUUUUAGCCUUGCGGCCGUACUCCACAGGCGGGAUGCUUAACGCGUUAGCUACGGCACGGAACCCGUGGAAUGGAUCCCACACCUAGCGCCCAACGUUUACGGUGUGGACUAC
rnacentral:misc_RNA from 1 species